CCGCCAACCCCCGCGGCGGGAUUCAUCCAGCAUCCCGGCAGCCCGUGCAGCUUUAUUGAGGGACCUUAUAGCUAUAAGAUCUUUGAUUUACUUCACGUUGCAGGUUAUAGAUUUAUUUAUUCGCAUUAUUCGCUCUGCAUUUGAGCUGAGUCGCUGCCCUUUGCUAUUUUCAUUGACAAUAAGAAAGUUUCUACUGCAGGAGUGCGAUCUAGAGUUGUCCCUGUCCUUCCCAAUGGAUCACUGUGAAAUAUGGCCACCGGUUCCCUACAGUCAAACAUCUUAAGAGUUAUCGGGAAGAUUUCUGCAUCACUAUAAGAAAAACCUGGCACAGUGAAGGGAAGACAAGAUGGUUCACACUCUUGCUCUGGAUGAGGGACUCCACCCUACCACAGGAAUUUCUUCUGGCAUGAACAAUGUAAGCCAAACAUUGCUUAAGAGUCAGUUACAAGAUAAUAUGAUGCUGCCUGACCUGUUGAGUAAUAUCGAACUUAGCUGUUAUGAUCCCUUCCCUCAAACCUACCAACAUUUCCUGCCUAGCCUUGUGCAUGAAAAUUAACACUUAAAAUAGAUCCUGGCAGACUUCCUGCAAUUGGGGGAAAAAGUGAAGUACUGCAAGUCGAACAAUGAGAAUCCAUUUUGUUAUAAAAAUGUGCAUUGCAUGUCUUUUUUUUGGUGAGUAGCAGUCAGCAUCAAAUUUAGCCCUUAAGUGGAGAGUUUGGGAUCAACAAGAUACAAAAGGAGAAAAAUAGAACAUUUCCAUAAGCCAGACUGUGCGAGAAGCAAAAUAAGAAUCAAGAAAACAAUCAAAUGAAAGUGACAUUUUGGAAUCUGAAGCUAUUUUGGAAAUGUUUUCAACACCAAAUAUUUCAAACAAGAACAAGUGGGAGAAUAGGGGAAUUUUGUCACUGCACAGAAAGAAGAUCAUCAUAUUUCGCAUGAUGAAACUGAAAUGUCCAUGAAAUCUGGGAUACUUAGUAUCUCAUUUGUAAUAAAACAAAGUCAUAUCACAUCAUAGUUGACUCGCUUUUUCCCAGUGACAUUGGAAUUCUUUACCGCCUCAUUACCCAUUCCUCCUUGCAAUCCACUGAGUUUACAAAACUUAAAUGAUAAUUUAAAUUGUUUUCUGCUUUGCUUUGCUAACAACAAUUUGCAUGUUCAUUGAUAAAUUUCUGUUAAGACAUUUUAACACCACACUGGUAGAGCUACUGGCUCACAUCGUCAGAGACUCAGGUUCGAUCCUGGCCUUGGGUGUUGUCGGUGUGAAUUUUACAUGUUCUCCCUAUGACUGCGUGUGUUUCCCCUGGCUGCUCCGGUUUCCACCCAGAUCCCAAAGACGUGCGGAAACGUGAGACAUGGGAAAGUGGGAAAACAUAGAACUAAAGUGAAGGGCAUGGACUCGGUGGGCGAAAGAGCCUGUUUCAAUGCUGUAUCUCUGAGUACCAAGUAAGUAAUUGAGUUUUUUGAGGAGAUGAUUAUUGAGGGUAGAUAGUGGAUAUAUAUGUAUAUAUUUAUGAAUUGGAUGUAAAUGUACAUGGGUUGGUUAGUAAUGUACAGGAAGAAACUGCAGAUGCAUGCAAACAGUUCAUUUAGACCUUAGGAUCUAAAUGCAGUCAUGAAUGGCUGGAAAAGUAACAUCUGGAUUAGCAGAAAACAAUUCAAAGAUAAGAGGGAUGGAGAAGGUAGUAAAUAAGGAAAUAUAGCUCUUGGAGGGAAAAUAAUCUUACAUCUGAAUUACAAUUGGAGCAGGGCAAUGUAAAUAAGCGAGUUCAGUGGGAAGGGUGAGUAUGG